rnacentral:misc_RNA from 1 species
AGCAGCCGCGGUAAUUCCAGCUCCAAUAGCGUAUAUUAAAGUUGUUGCAGUUAAAAAGCUCGUAGUUGAAUUUCGGGAUCAGUAUGUUGGUCGUGCUUCGGUACGUACUGUCAUUACUGGUUUCUACCUUCUGAAGAACCUUGAUGUCAUUAAUUUGGUGUCUUGGGGAAUCAGGACUGUUACUUUGAAAAAAUUAGAGUGUUUAAAGCAAGCAUACGCUUGAAUACAUUAGCAUGGAAUAAUGAAAUAGGACGUUUGAUUCUAUUUUGUUGGUUUCUAGGAUCGACGUAAUGAUUAAUAGGGAUAGUUGGGGGGCAUUAGUAUUCAAUUGUCAGAGGUGAAAUUCUUGGAUUUAUUGAAGACUAACUACUGCGAAAGCAUUUGCCAAGGAUGUUUUCAUUAAUCAAGAACGAAAGUUAGGGGAUCGAAGACGAUCAGAUACCGUCGUAGUCUUAACCAUAAACUAUGCCGACUAGGGAUCGGAUGAUGUUAUUUUUUAAUGACUCAUUCGGCGCCUUAC